UUAACCGCCAAGCCAUCUCUCCAGCCCUAGUUUCCUAUUUUUAAGCAGGUUUGCACCUCUGAAAAUUUUGGUGCAGAGUUGUUCUUAUGGGGUCUCCAUUACCUACCUGGCUGUUUUCUCUUCUCUGGUGUUCGCUGGGCUGUACAACCAUUAUCGGCCACUGGGUGGCGCUGAAGCGCCAGGCAAAUUAUUUGCUGUGGUCAGGCCAUCAUUUUGACUUUUAGCCAACACUAAAUGUUACAGGGAAAGGUUACUGACUUCUGCAGUCUUUGAGAUACAAUAUUUUAUUAUCUGUCCAUUUCCCUUGAGUUUUUACUUGACAAAGUCUGAAGGCAUUUUCUUUUUGGUUUUAGAUUAGAGAUAUUAAUUUAUUUGUACAUUUUUGUGACAAGUGGAGUGUUGAAAAAAAAAAAAAACCAUACUGUUAACUACGUGGUGAGGUGCAUUCUAUACAACCUUAAUAACUAGUGACAUGGGUUAAACUUGGGGAUGCGGGGUACUGUUCUCUACUUUCCUGCUGCCUUGAGAUAGAUCGCAGAAAUUCCAAAUCAGAGUAUUUCCUAAGUUUCACCCGUGUCCGUGUAUUGGAAAUUACAUGUAGAAAAACUACGGCUAUUUCUCAAUAUUGUAUCAGAAACUUUUGUUUUAUCUGGAUGUCCAACUUCUACUGCCCAUUCCUUUUCGUUUACAGACUAGUUGCUUCUGCUACUUUAUAAACACUCUGGUCAUAACUCUUUUCACAAAAAAAUAUUAUGUGUCAGAUUUACCACUAACCUGCUCAUUAUCAUUUUUAUUUUCAUUUUUAAAGCAAGAUUUCAUGUAACCAGUAGGCUGGUCUCUACCUCCUGUAGUCGGAGGUUACCUUGAACUUCCGAUCCUCUCGCCUCUCUAUCCUGAGUACUAGGAUUGCAGCCGUGCCCCCCUCCCCCGCCACAUCGUUAAUUCCUGAAUUACAAAUACUGGAUGCAAAGAUCCACAGCCAAACAUUAGGUGGAGCUCUGGCAAGAAGAAGGCAAGAAAGCCCACUGUUGUUCUGCAUAAGUGAUAAUGGUGAUGGAGAUGCGGGAGCCAUCCCAAUAUGACUGAGAAAUAUUCAUCUGGUCCAACUGACCCCAACGUGCUGUGAUGUUGGAUUAGAAAUGAUUUAAAUUUUCUCCGAAGACCUUUCCUAUUGUUCUUUCUAGUUGUUUUUUUUUCUUCAUAAAUUGGUGAUGAAUUCUUACUAAGAUGGUUCAAUAAAGAUAUAUAAACGUUGACA